AGAACCUCCUAGCUGACCUGUAGACCACAGAUGCAUGAAGAAUGUCAAGCUGAAUUCAGAAGAGCUUACCUACAUCCAAAAUUGUUGACCUAUAAUUUUUAUCCAGUGUGCUAGGUAAAAUAUUUUUGUAUUAACCUAUCACAAUGCCCUGGUCAGACCAUAAAACCUGUGCUGUGUUUUAAUAUGUGGACCCCUUAACCCUGGAACUCAAUCUGAUUGUCAGUCUUAGGAGAUAAUGGGGAGGAAUAUUUCAGUCAAUAAAGAACAAAAGCUUUCCAGUGUUCCCAACUCAGUGGAAUUGUCUUAGCUUGUUUUGGUUUGUUGUUAUUGUUGUUUCCUGUUCUCAUAGGGUUAGGCUCUAAGAUAAGAAAAUGGCAGCAGACAAUCCUGGACUUUCUGAGCUCCAUGAAGUUCAAUGAAUAACUAAUGUCACCUGUUUUGGCAUUUAUUACCCUUACCAAUAUCAGCCAUUGUGUGAGAGGUAAAAGCCAUUCUGAGUGCUAGCUCUUCAUUGUCCUUUCACCCUAAAACUGUUUUCAUGUGUGGGUCUCUGUAAUCAGGGAAAUAAGUCUGAUUCCUUAUCUUAAUAAAACAGUAGGGAAGAAUCCAGGAUGUAAUAAGGAAAACCCAUCAUUUGUCUAAACUAUUAUUCUUCUCUGCAUUAUAGAUAAAACCUCAGUUUAAUGGGGGAAUGAAGAGGAGAAACUGUUUGAAAUUCACCUUCUGAACCAUUAACAAUACCUGGAAGGAUAAAGCUAAGAAAGUGAGACUUAAAUAAGAAAUCUUGUCAAAAAAAAAAGAAAGUGAGACUUGAGUUCUUCCAACCUGUACUUCACCAGAGCUUCUCAUCUGAUUCAUUUGUAAAUAUUGCUGUUGUUUUCUUAGUGGUACAAGCUGCUUCAGACUGCACGAACAUUGUCAUACUCAAUCUUCACAGCUACUCCAUGAGAUUGAAGAAUCACAAAUGGAAGCUCAAAAUACUUAUCCAAAUUUCUGAUUUCAAACAUGGAUUCACAACUCCAGCCUUAAAGACAGUGUAUAAACUUUUGUCUGUUUGUGAACAUCAUAAUGCAGAUAUAGAGUUCUGGUGUUGGUUUCUUAUUGUAAACUUUCUCAUUUCUACAGUUCAAAGUUUUUGACUCUGAUUGUAUUCUGUAUUAAGUUCACUGAUGAAAUUAGCAGAAAGAGAAAAAUCUCCGAGUCUCUACAUGUAUCAACAUAAAUUGUUCCACAGAUUUUACUCAGUAACAAUUUCCAAUUUCUAGUUUUUCUCAUUCAUUCACAACCUAUAAUGUUACAGACAAUUGACAUCAUGUUACUUCAGCCAUAAAACUAAGACCAAAGACACACAUUUUAAAGACACAUAUUAAACUGUGAUGGGCUUGAUUUAAUUUAUAUGCAUAUGUGAAAGCAACCUGUAUUUUGAUGACAGAUAAUUCCUAAAAAACAGGUCAAAAAGUGUUACUCAUAAAAUGGUUCAUUUCUGCAAUAGCAAUAUUGUAUUUGAAAGUUUUGAAUCUUAGCAAAGCAUUGGUAUAAAUCACAGACAUAAUUGACAAUAGGUGAUUUUAAAAAGAGAGAUAUACCCUAGUCCUGAUGGCUAAAGGAACAUAGAGCAUUUCCUCUUCUAUAGUGUUGUCAGUCACAUAUUUGAGGGGCACUGAAAUAUGGUUUCAUCUGACUGUUUUCUCCUACAUUACAAAUUCAUGUGUCCUUUCUAUGCUGCUCUAACUUUUUAUAUGCUAAGAUUUUAUUCAUUCUUAAAAAUUCAGGCCAAUAUUGCUAUUUUGUUAAAACCCUUUAAAAGUCACUUCCCAAAAGAAAAAUAAAAAGUAAUAAUGGUCUCUUCUGUAGUUUAACUGAACACCUGUAGAGGAGGGUUCAUCCUACUCCAUCUCUCUCUUUUUUACUUCUGUUAAAAUUUGUCAUAUGUCUAUUGCUGCCUCCAGGAUAGAAGUGCAUCUCUUCAUCUUUGUUCAGGGCAUAGCAUGGUACACAAGACACGUAAUAGGUUCUCGCCAGGGUGUUCUAAGUUGAAUCAAGUUAAGUUCAAGUAAAUUUUAAAAUCUAUGAAAUUUAAAUGUUGACUUUAAUAGAGGCAUCUCAGGUCUAAUUCUGACUUCUUUGCAUAUAUAUUAUUAUCAGAAGAAAUUCUUAAAAUGACCAUUCUGAGAUUUUUGACUAUGUCUUUUUAAUUUUACAUGAAACACAUAUACAUUGUAGAUAAAAAUUAGAAAUGCAAAUGAACCAAAAGAGAAAUAAUAGAACCAUCUAAAAUUCUACCACCCAAGGGUAACUACUAUUGACAUUAAGUAUAUCUUUCCAGAUAUAGUUCCCAAGGUAUAUUACUCAUGUGUUCUCAAUGGAGAGAACAAGAGCAAUGACACUAGGUCAAGGGAGCUAAAGGCGAAUUGUGGUCAGUUAGUCUAGAACUGUUAUCUACUUAGCACUAUAGGAGGAGGAUCUUAAAAAAUUAAUCUUUAUUUUACCUUGUCUUCUAUCAGUUUUCCAUUGAUCAUAUAUAGCAGUGAAAACACUCAGCAUAAGAUUCUAAUUUACUUUUAUAUUAUUUUUACUCUUCUAAAAAAUCCAAUUAGAGAUAUAGAAUAAUUUAGCUAAAUGUUUUAAAAUUUAAGUUAUAUAGUUAAUUUAGUUAUAUCAAUAUCAUCAAAUGAUAUCAAUUAUGCUUUUCAUUUUUAUAAUUAGUUUUUUAUUUUGUUUAAAAAUUUUAAUAGAAUUAUACAUAAUAGAAUUAAAACUUGAGAAAUUCAUUUAUGCAAUGUUAUCUAUGAUUUUUAACUAUUUUACAUUUUUCAGGUAGUAUAUAAAAUUUACCUACAAUUUUAUAUCUUGUCAGGUUUCUAGGGUAAAAAUUACCUUAUAGUUAAUCAGGUUAAAUGAUAUGUAUUUUAGUAAAGUAACUAAUUUCUCCAUUGAUAAGCUAUGGUAUAGCCAAGUGUGGAUUUUUAAGGUAUAUGCUCUUAGAAUAUAGAGAAAUUAUUGGCAUCCAACUACAAUCUGUAGUAUGGAAGCCUUAGAUUGUUUCUAAUUACUUGACCAUUUCACAUAACUUUCCUUUGAUAAAUAUAAGAAACAGUCUUAAUCUUUCACUGAUAUUGUGCCAUAUAGGCCUGUAGCCUGUUUCUAGUCCAAAGCUUUUAUUGGCCAACUCACAGAUGUCCUCCUAACAAGCACCAUUUUUCUAAAACAAGAGUAUUUGGGUUGGAAUAGAUUUUCAGAGUUCUAUCUGACGUCAUUGUUACGUAUCAAUAAAUUACUAAAGAGAAAAGAGGCAAUCCAGGUUGUAUAGAGUUAAGAAAGAAAUUCAUGUUAUUAAAAAUGUACACAGUAGGAUUCCAUCAGGAUUCAAAAGGGUUUAUUUACAGAAAGAAUAAUUACAACUUGAGGAACCACGGCUAAACUCUUAGCACUCCAAAAGGCUAAGGGCUGAGAGAACCGUGAAGAAGCCUGAAUGGAUGUCAGAAAACCCGGUUGUCUUGAAAGAAGCAGUGAACUGUAGUCAAAAGACACAGUAACCUAAAUGGACUCCUCAAGACUGAGGAAUUGAAUAUUCACUUCAAUUUCUGUGUUCCUUCUAAUCUCCUUCUGGGCAAACCUAAGUUAUACCUGAAGCCUUGCAAACCCAUUGGUGUAAUUCAUUUAUCGUGGAGAAGAUUGAAGACUUGAUCUGAAGAGGAAACAGAAAAUAAGCAGAACAGUUGGUGGACAUAAGAUUUAAAAAAAAAAAAAAACACAUGAAACUAAAGAGCAAAUUAAUGUCAAACGAAAAAAUGUUUUAUUUUAUUGUACAAGAGCUGAGAAUAUACUUAACAAAUAAGUCAGAAACUGACAGAGAUUAAAGAAU
ensembl:lncRNA